rnacentral:rRNA from 1 species
AGAUUGAACGCUGGCGGCAUGCCUUACACAUGCAAGUCGAACGGCAGCACGGGAGCAAUCCUGGUGGCGAGUGGCGAACGGGUGAGUAAUAUAUCGGAACGUGCCCAGUCGUGGGGGAUAACGCAGUGAAAGCUGUGCUAAUACCGCAUACGAUCUAUGGAUGAAAGCGGGGGACUCGCAAGAGCCUCGCGCGAUUGGAGCGGCCGAUAUCAGAUUAGCUAGUUGGUGGGUAAAAGCCCACCAAGGCGACGAUCUGUAGCUGGUCUGAGAGGACGACCAGCCGACACUGGAACUGAGACACGGGUCCAGACUCCGU